rnacentral:misc_RNA from 1 species
GUAGUUCUAAACAUCCACGCGUUCCAUUGACAAAGACAAUCACUGAACUUAGAAUUCAAAUGAUAGAAGAUACAUAGCUAGGUUCAGGUUUUGAUAGCGAGUGCACAAGCACAGCAAGCAUAGUACUUAAAACCAAAUACGAAUUUCAAACCCCUUACUACUGUGGAGAAGAAUCUGGCUGGCCCACUGAUGAAGACUUUGAUGCUUCCAUUACAACAUGAGCUUGAUCCAAACAGCUUUGAGUAUCAUCACCAAUAACUCCAAUGGUCAUCUUCUCCACUUCUUCUUGAGUAUAUAUAUGGAUCUUGGAUACCACAUUACAGAA